AAUCAACGCUGGCGGCGUGCCUCAGACAUGCAAGUCGAACGAUUAAGACUUCCUUCGGGAAGUGUAUAAAGUGGCGCACGGGUGAGUAACACGUAAGUAAUCUACCCUCGAGUGGGGAAUAACGUUCGGAAACGAACGCUAAUACCGCAUAAUGCAGCGGCAUCGCAAGAUGACAGUUGUUAAAGGAGUAAUUCGCUUGAGGAGGAGCUUGCGGAAGAUUAGCUAGUUGGUAAGGUAACGGCUUACCAAGGCUACGAUCUGUAUCCGGUCUAAGAGGACGGUCGGACACACUGACACUGAAUAACGGGUCAGACUCCUACGGGAGGCAGCAGUCGGGAAUUUUGGGCAAUGGGCGAAAGCCUGACCCAGCAACGCCGCGUGAAGGAUGAAGUAUUUCGGUAUGUAAACUUCGAAAGAAUGGGAAGAAUAAAUGACGGUACCAUCUAUAAGCUCCGGCUAACUACGUGCCAGCCGCCGCGGUAAGAC
rnacentral:rRNA from 1 species